GGGUUGGUAGCUCAGUGGUAGAACGACUGGUCUAGAUUACAGAUUGUCCCAGGUUCAAUUCCUAGCUAGUCCA